AGUUUUGCUUGUACGUAGACUAAGACGUAGUCUGGCUGUCUCUAAGCGACGGUCACCUACUAAGCUGCUAAAGCAAGUAUAUGCUUCUAUAUUGUGUACAGAGUGCUAGUGAUGCGAAGAUUACAUUCCGCCGCAUGAUCCAGGAGAAGCUGGCCAUUCCUGCUGGUCUCACUAUGGAAUGUGUAGCUGUCUGCAUCCUCUCCCAAAUGAGCAGUAAAAUCACCGCAUUCUAAGAAACUUGGCUGAUGAAGUAGGCUUCAUUUUGUUCUGCUCUCUGGGUGAGAUCUAGUAAAAUCCAGACAGGUUCCAUCCAUUUGGAUUACUUGGCACUCCUUUACCCAAAACUAUCUUCUUCCAGUCGGUGAAGAGCUGUGAAGCAAUGAGAGGAACUUGCAGAAGAAGAAAAAGACAAAGAAAGUCAUGGGAAAAAGUGGUGAAGGUUGAUCUCAGGAGGCUGAAUGUCAUAAACGAGAUGAAAGACCAGAAUAAGCAUUGAGGCACAAUACUACAGAAGACCUAUCAAACUAGAUAAGAACUUAGGUAAAACAGUGAAGACAAUAAUGAAGACAUCUUGGGUUUAACAGGUUUCAGUGAAAUGAAACCAAUGUUAACAGCUAUGGAGUAUUGAGCCAACAAGAUAAUUUCUAUGCAGUUGAUCACAAUAGCAACCAAACUUCCUUAAAUACACCCUUCCAGCUUAUAAAUCAUAAGAUAUACUAGACAAUGUAUUUUGCAAAGUGUUUAAAGACAGGAGGGUCAUAGCAAGAAGGUAUUUGAUUAAAGGUCAGUUAAGAGUUGAUUUAGGAUUAAAGGAUGACAGUUACAGUUCACUUAAGUGAUCAAUGCUUGAUUAGAGUAAAUUACUUAGAAUUUGACUAAUUAGAAUCUUGUUAAUUUCUUUAACCCUGUCGUUACUGUAUUUAUUUUGAGAUGCUCUGUGUUUC
rnacentral:lncRNA from 1 species